UACGUAGGGUGCGAGCGUUGUCCGGAAUUACUGGGCGUAAAGAGCUCGUAGGUGGUUUGUCGCGUUGUUCGUGAAAACUCACGGCUUAACUGUGAGCGUGCGGGCGAUACGGGCAGACUGGAGUACUGCAGGGGAGACUGGAAUUCCUGGUGUAGCGGUGGAAUGCGCAGAUAUCAGGAGGAACACCGGUGGCGAAGGCGGGUCUCUGGGCAGUAACUGACGCUGAGGCGCGAAAGCGUGGGGAGCAAACAGG
rnacentral:rRNA from 1 species